UACAGAGGUCUCAAGCGUUGUUCGGAUUCAUUGGGCGUAAAGGGUGCGUAGGCGGCGCGGUAAGUCGGGUGUGAAAUCUCGGGCUUAACUCCGAAACUGCAUUCGAUACUGCCGUGCUUGAGGACUGGAGAGGAGACUGGAAUUUACGGUGUAGCGGUGAAAUGCGUAGAUAUCGUAAGGAAGACCAGUGGCGAAGGCGGGUCUCUGGACAGUUCCUGACGCUGAGGCACGAAGGCCAGGGGAGCAAACGGG
rnacentral:rRNA from 1 species